rnacentral:ncRNA from 1 species
AUAAAACCUUUGAUAAGAAGUAGUAAUUUUAAAAACAAAUUUACAGAAAACUACUAAUGCUGAGAAUGUAGUAAUUAUGCUUAAAAUGAAUGGAUCUUUGAGGCGCUUAGAUGAAAUUUAGUAUUUUAAGCCGUUAGUCUUACGUUAUAAAGACAGGAUAUCUACAUUUAGUAUGUAUCUUUAAGAGGAAAGCUUAAGCUUUUAAAAUUAGGUGGCACCGUGUAUAUUACGCCCUAUGG